GCCCCGCUAGCUCAAUUGGUAGAGCAACUGACUCUUAAUCAGUAGGUUGAUGGUUCGAGUCCAUCGCGGGGCA
rnacentral:tRNA from 1 species